GAUACCCGCUGAACUUAAGCAUAUCAAUAAGCGGAGGAAAAGAAACCAACCGGGAUUGCCUCAGUAACGGCGAGUGAAGCGGCAAGAGCUCAAAUUUGAAAUCUGGCCCCCUCCGGGGUCCGAGUUGUAAUUUGCAGAGGAUGCUUUGGGUGCGGCCCCCGUCUAAGUGCCCUGGAACGGGCCGUCAUAGAGGGUGAGAAUCCCGUCUGGGACGGGGUGUCCGUGCCCGUGUAAAGCUCCUUCGACGAGUCGAGUUGUUUGGGAAUGCAGCUCUAAAUGGGUGGUAAAUUUCAUCUAAAGCUAAAUACUGGCCGGAGACCGAUAGCGCACAAGUAGAGUGAUCGAAAGAUGAAAAGCACUUUGAAAAGAGAGUUAAACAGCACGUGAAAUUGUUGAAAGGGAAGCGCUUGCGACCAGACUCGCCUACGGGGUUCAGCCGGCAUUCGUGCCGGUGUACUUCCCCGUGGGCGGGCCAGCGUCGGUUUGGGCGGUCGGUCAAAGGCCUCCGGAAUGUAUCACCCCCCGGGGUGUCUUAUAGCCGGAGGUGCAAUGCGGCCAGCCUAGACCGAGGAACGCGCUUCGGCUCGGACGCUGGCAUAAUGGUCGUAAGCGACC
rnacentral:rRNA from 1 species